GUAAAGCCGGUGCCGGCCGCCGGGGUACUAGGGGGGGGGGGAGCGUUGUUCGGAAAUACUGGGCGGAAAGCGCACGUAGGGGGCUGAGCAAGUCAGGGGUGAAAUCCCGGGGCUCAAACCCGGAACUGCCCUUGAAACUGCAGUGCUAGAAUCCUGGAGAGGCGAGUGGAAUUCCGAGUGUAGAGGUGAAAUUCGUAGAUAUUCGGAAGAACACCAGUGGCGAAGGCGACUCGCUGGACAGGUAUUGACGCUGAGGUGCGAAAGCGUGGGGAGCAAACAGGAUUAGAUACCCGAGUAGUC
rnacentral:rRNA from 1 species